GUGCAGCAGGCGCGAAACCUCCGCAAUGCUCGAAAGAGCGACGGGGGACUCCGAGUGCCUACGCUUUGCGUAGGCUUUUCCCAAGCCUAAAAAAGCUUGGGGAAUAAAGGGCUGGGUAAGACGGGUGCCAGCCGCCGCGGUAAUACCCGCAGCCCGAGUGGUGACCGCUUUUAAUUGGGCCUAAAGCGUCCGUAGCCGGUCUGGUAAAAUGCCUGGGUAAAUCGUCUGGCUUAAACCAGACGGAUUCCAGGUAGACUGCCAGACUAGGGACCGGAGGAAGGAGAGGGUACUCCGGGGGUAGGGGUGAAAAUCAGCAAGGUGAGUUGCUGAUGUAACUUGCCUUGC
rnacentral:rRNA from 1 species